rnacentral:rRNA from 1 species
UACGAAGGGGGCUAGCGUUGCUCGGAAUCACUGGGCGUAAAGGGUGCGUAGGCGGGUCUUUAAGUCAGAGGUGAAAGCCUGGAGCUCAACUCCAGAACUGCCUUUGAUACUGAGGAUCUCGAGUUCGGGAGAGGUGAGUGGAACUGCGAGUGUAGAGGUGAAAUUCGUAGAUAUUCGCAAGAACACCAGUGGCGAAGGCGGCUCACUGGUCCGAUACUGACGCUGAGGCACGAAAGCGUGGGGAGCAAACAGG